AGUAGCCGGGCUUAUUCUGAGGUACCGUCAUUAUAUUAGANNAUNAUAANUUUAUACGUNCAUAAAAACUNNUUAACUUGNUNANGAGUAGCCGGGCUUCCUCGAUAGGUACCGUCAUUGCAAAGGAUUAUUCACCCUUCGCACGUUCGUCCCCAUCAACAGAGCUUUACGAUCCGAAGACCUUCUUCACUCACGCGGCGUUGCUCCGUCAGGCUUGCGCCCAUUGCGGAAGAUUCCCCACUGCUGCCUCCCGUAGGAGU
rnacentral:rRNA from 1 species